UCAUUAAGAACUUUCACGAAAGUGCACAAGGAAAGGUUUUCUCAAAACCAGGCAGCCUUUUAUCAAACCAAACAACCAAGAGCACUAAAGAAUGCUGCUUCAAGUGCGUACAAAACAAKGAAUGCUUGUCAGUGAACACCAUUGCUUUGRAUCAAUCGCGAUGUCAAUGUGAGCUUCUCAACUGGGCGGGAACCGGAUUUGAAAAUAAUCUAAUACCAAAACCAAACUCCAAAUUUCUGCAAAUGGAGACUGCGUGUUCACCCAACCCAUGUCAAAAUGGCGGCCAAUGCACCGUGAAAGAUGGAGGAACAAACUACACCUGUAAUUGUACUGGUCGAGGUCAUACUGGAAGAAAUUGUGAAAUCAACAUGUGCUCGCCGAACCCUUGUCAAAAUGGCGGACAAUGUACCGUGAAAGAUGGAGGAACUAACUACACCUGUACUUGUACUAAUCACACUGGAAGAA